rnacentral:rRNA from 1 species
ACGUAGGGGGCGAGCGUUGUCCGGGGUUACUGGGCGUAAAGCGCACGCAGGCGGUCUGGCGCGUAGUUGGUGACAGCUCCCGGCUUCACUGGGAGAGCGGUGACUAAACGGCCAGACUUGAGGGCCAGAGAGGGACAUGGAACUCCGGGUGGAGUGGUGAAAUGCGUAGAGAUCCGGAAGAACACCAAAGGCGAAGGCAAUGUCCUGGAUGGUACCUGACGCUCAGGUGCGAAAGCUAGGGGAGCGAACGGGAUUAGAUACCCCGGUAGUCCUAGCCGUAAACGAUGACCACUAGGCGUGUGGGGUAUCGACCCCCUACGUGCCGUCUCUAACGAACUAAGUGGUCCGCCUGGGGAGUACGGUCGCAAGAUUA